rnacentral:lncRNA from 1 species
CAGGCAGUGUGCCUGCGGUGGUCUACCCGAUCAGCAAAGACCUCGCCCUGCUUCGAUUACCUUUGUUACCACCCCCCACUUCCCCGCCCCCAAUCCUCCCGAAGAAACCAAUGUGAACCACAAUUCUGCACCUACGGGACCACGAGUUUCUGUGAUGGCUGAGGAAAGAACCGCUGAGAAGGACCCUGAUGUGGGAAGGUUCACAUUACUUGGUGUCAAAAGGGGUAUUUGAAGGAGUUGAAUCCCUAAAGAACUAACGAUCCUGGGAAUCAUGCCUGGUACCCACUUGAUCCCCUUGUGUUCUCCACUCUUUUGGUCUGGUAAGUCUCCUCUCAGAUUCAAGCUCAUUCCUUUUGAUUGAGCUCUCCAGCUUUUUAGGGGGAUCUGUUUUUGUUUUCUUGACACUAUAGCCCUCUGUGUGAGCACUCAUUUGUUUUCUGAACCUCUGGUUUUGACAUAUAGAAUCUCGAUUCUCUAAAUUCUCUCAGGAGAGUCCUCUUCUGGGACCACGGCUUACUUUGUGUUCAAAAACUUUUGCAUAUUUUCAACUAAAUGGACCAACUUAAUAAAAAAUAGUUUAGAACUCCAGUGGUCACUAUGGGGAACUUUCAAGCUCUUCAUUACUGAUAACUGUACAUGUAUUAAACCACUGGUCUGUGGAUAAAAUAAUAAUGUUUAUGAAUCAAUACUGGUGAGGAAAUAUUAAUAAGGCCUCAUGAAGUGCCUACUUUGCUUGUCCCACCUGUUCUAAAUGUACUCCUGGGCAACUGUCUGCACUGCCCCUGAAUACUUUAUUUAAAAAAAAUUUUAACAUUAAAACAUUUUAAAUUUUAUAUUGGCGUAUAGUUGAUUUACAGUAUUGUGUUUCAGGUGUACAGCAAAGUGAUUCAGAUAUACAUGUAUCUAUUCAAAUUCUUUUUUCUGAACAUAUAUGAAAUGAUAUUUAUUAUAUGAAAUUGGCUUAAGCAAUAUGGUGGCUAGUAAGUGCAAAUCUGCUGCCCUUUGUGAACAAGCCUGAUAAGCAGUCUCCAGCCACCCCUCAAUCACUUAAAAUUGCUCAACUGACCAUUCAAAUUUUUGGCAAAUAAAUUUUAUACAACUCCCCUGUCUCAUGGAUAUAUAAUAAAUAUAUUUUGUCAGACAUUUAUAAUGUCUAUUUUUGUUAUAUUUUAUAUUGGACUCUUAAUUCAGUGAUACAAUAAAGGAAGGGUAUGAGGAAAUAGACUCUUCUAUUUUUUUCAAGGGAGUACAAAUUGGUAUGAUAGAAAAGGAAGGCAAUUUACCAGCAUCUGUUAAAACUAUAACUGUAGCACGGACACAACUGAAACGACUGAGCAUGCCUGCAUGGCAUUUUGGCCUAGGAACCCC